AUUGAACGCUGGCGGCAUGCCUUACACAUGCAAGUCGAACGGCAGCACGGGAGCAAUCCUGGUGGCGAGUGGCGAACGGGUGAGUAAUAUAUCGGAACGUGCCCAGUGAUGGGGGAUAGCCCGGCGAAAGCCGGAUUAAUAUCGCAUACGACCUACGGGUGAAAGCAGGGGAUCGCAAGACCUUGCGUCAUUGGAGCGGCCGAUAUCAGAUUAGCUGUUGGUGGGGUAAAAGGACCUACCAAGGCGACGAUCUGUAGCUGGUCUGAGAGGACGACCAGCCACACUGGGA
rnacentral:rRNA from 1 species